rnacentral:rRNA from 1 species
UGAGGAAUAUUGGGCAAUGCCCGAAAGGGUGACCCAGCAACGCCGCGUGGAGGAUGAAGGUCGUAAGAUUGUAAACUCCUGUUAGAGGGGAAGAAUAACUAAGUUUGGAGCUUAGUAUGACUGUACCCUCAGAGAAAGCCCCGGCUAACUACGUGCCAGCAGCCGCGGUAAUACGUAGGGGGCAAGCGUUGUCCGGAUUUACUGGGUGUAAAGGGCGCGCAGGCGGAAUGGAAAGUCAGUGGUGAAAUCCUACAGCUUAACUGUAGAACUGCCUUUGAUACUUUCAUUCUUGAGUUCGGGAGAGGGAGACGGAAUUCCAGGUGUAGUGGUGAAAUACGUAGAUAUCUGGAAGAACACCAGUUGCGAAGGCGGUCUCUUGGUCCGAUACUGACGCUGAGGCGCGAAAGCGUGGGGAGCAAACA